rnacentral:rRNA from 1 species
AACGAACGCUGGCGGCAUGCCUAACACAUGCAGUCGAACGAGACCUUCGGGUCUAGUGGCGCACGGGUGCGUAACGCGUGGGAACCUGCCCUUAGGUUCGGAAUAACUCCCCGAAAGGGGUGCUAAUACCGGAUAAUGUCUUCGGACCAAAGAUUUAUCGCCUUUGGAUGGGCCCGCGUUGGAUUAGCUAGUUGGUAGGGUAAAAGCCUACCAAGGCGACGAUCCAUAGCUGGUCUGAGAGGAUGAUCAGCCACACUGGGACUGAGACACGGCCCAGACUCCUACGGGAGGCAGCAGUGGGGAAUAUUGGACAAUGGGCGAAAGCCUGAUCCAGCAAUGCCGCGUGAGUGAUGAAGGCCUUAGGGUUGUAAAGCUCUUUUACCCGGGAUGAUAAUGACAGUACCGGGAGAAUAAGCUCCGGCUAACUCCGUG